GACCCCAAACUCGUUGCCACACACACUGAGCUGCGCAGGAAAGCUGUAAUCCGGGGAAGGAGAGAGGUGCAAGAUGGGGUUUAUAAUGGAGUUUGCUGAGAAUCUGGUACUGAAGCUAAUGGAGGACCCUAAGGAGCGAGAUAGGAAAUUCAGGGAGCAUGUGUAUGCGACCAAGGAUCGAUGUGAGAAGACAAAGGAGAUGUGGGCCUUACCUCUCCGGCCAUAUGGGUUCUGGACCUUUGACCGCCACAAUUCGCAGAUGAAAUGGGACUCCCAGAUUAGUCAGGUUGAGGGCAGGAGGGACCCCUAUGAUGACCUUCUCCUGCACAGCCGCGACACUGACAUCGGCGUAUCGAAAUGAGUGCUAUGAGCAGACCACUUUACAGAACCGGCUGGAGGUUUCUUUCGAUGGAGUCAUGUUGGAGAAAUGUUAUAUGGUGUUAGAGAUCCUUUUAUCAAGACUGGUCUCUGCAUGUGAAUAAGAGUCCAUGUCACUGUUGUGUUGUGGAAAAAUUUCUCUUUUGAUGUUUAAUUACAUUUAUGUUCUCAACUUCUCAUUCUAUCUAGUCAUCUCUUUGAUUUUAGUUUUUGCUUAUACAGACAAUACAAAAUAAAGGCUUCAUAUAGUUGAUGUGUC